GACGAACGCUGGCGGCGUGCUUAACACAUGCAAGUCGAACGGAAAGGCCCUGCUUUUGUGGGGUGCUCGAGUGGCGAACGGGUGAGUAACACGUGAGUAACCUGCCCUUGACUUUGGGAUAACUUCAGGAAACUGGGGCUAAUACCGGAUAGGAGCUCCUGCUGCAUGGUGGGGGUUGGAAAGUUUCGGCGGUUGGGGAUGGACUCGCGGCUUAUCAGCUUGUUGGUGGGGUAGUGGCUUACCAAGGCUUUGACGGGUAGCCGGCCUGGGAGGGUGACCGGCCACAUUGGGCCUGAGAUACGGCCCAGACUCCUACGGGAGGCAGCAGUGGGGAAUAUUGCACAACGGGCGGAAGCCUGAUGCAGCAACGCCGCGUGCGGGAUGCCGGCCUUCGGGUUGUAAACAGCUUUCGACUGUGCCGAAGCGUGAGUGACGGUAAUGGGUAAAGAAGCACCGGCUAACUACGUG
rnacentral:rRNA from 1 species